UACGUAGGAGGCAAGCGUUGUCCGGAAUUACUGGGCGUAAAGCGCGUGUAGGUGGUGGGACAAGUCUGCUGUGAAAGCGCCUGGCUUAACCGGGCGAGGUCGGCGGAAACUGUUCGACUUGAGGACGGUAGGAGGGGGUGGAAGUUCCCGGUCGUAGUGGUGAAAUGCGUAGAGAUCGGGAGGAACACCUGUGGCGAAGGCGGCCCCCUGGGCCGGCCCUGACACUGAUGCGCGACAGCAUGGGGAGCAACAGG
rnacentral:rRNA from 1 species